GAUGAACGCUGGCGGCGUGCCUAAUACAUGCAAGUCGAGCGAACAGACGAGGAGCUUGCUCCUCUGACGUUAUCGGCGGACGGGUGAGUAACACGUGGAUAACCUACCUAUAAGACUGGGAUAACUUCGGGAAACCGGAGCUAAUACCGGAUAAUAUAUUGAACCGCAUGGUUCACUAGUGAAAGACGGUUUUGCUGUCACUUAUAGAUGGAUCCGCGCCGCAUUAGCUAGUUGGUAAGGUAACGGCUUACCAAGGCAACGAUGCGUAGCCGACCUGAGAGGGUGAUCGGCCACACUGGAACUGAGACACGGUCCAGACUCCGACGGGAGGCAGCAGUAGGGAAUCUUCCGCAAUGGGCGAAAGCCUGACGGAGCAACGCCGCGUGAGUGAUGAAGGUCUUCGGAUCGUAAAACUCUGUUAUUAGGGAAGAACAAAUGUGUAAGUAACUAUGCACGUCUUGACGGUACCUAAUCAGAAAGCCACGGCUAACUACGUG
rnacentral:rRNA from 1 species